rnacentral:rRNA from 1 species
UACGGAGGAUGCAAGCGUUAUCCGGAAUGAUUGGGCGUAAAGCGUCCGCAGGUGGCUGUGUAAGUCUGCUGUUAAAGAGUGAGGCUCAACCUCAUAAAGGCAGUGGAAACUACAUGGCUAGAGUGCGGUCGGGGCAGAGGGAAUUCCUGGUGUAGCGGUGAAAUGCGUAGAGAUCAGGAAGAACACCGGUGGCGAAAGCGCUCUGCUAGGCCGCAACUGACACUGAGGGACGAAAGCUAGGGGAGCGAAUGGG